UACGUAGGGGGGCAAGCGUUGUCCGGAUUUAUUGGGCGUAAAGAGCGUGUAGGCGGCUGGGUAGGUCCGUUGUGAAAACUCGAGGCUCAACCUCGAGACGCCGAUGGAAACCCUCCAGCUAGAGUCCGGAAGAGGAGAGUGGAAUUCCUGGUGUAGCGGUGAAAUGCGCAGACUAUCAGGAAGAACACCCGUGGCUAAGGCGGCUCUCUAGUACGGUACUGACGCUGAGACGCGAAAGCGUGGGGAGCGAACAGG
rnacentral:rRNA from 1 species